rnacentral:rRNA from 1 species
CACCGUGGCGCCAUGGCCCAAUGGCACCAAGGAACCAAGGCACCGUGGCGCCAUGGCACCAAGGCACCAUGGCGCCAUGGCACCUAGGCACCUUGGCGCCAUGGCACCAAGGUGGCGCGGUGCCAUGGCACCAUGGCACCGUGUCACACAGGCACCAUGGCACCAACGCAGCUUGCCACACAGGCACCGUGGUACUAUAGCACUAUGGCACCAGCUCGUGGAAUGUCGUCUCCUCGAUUGUGGCAGGCAGCACGCGCCUUCGGUGUACUUCGGCAUCUGCGCGCUCCAGACGCUCUGGACUAUGGGCUCCCCAUUCGACCCGUCUUAAAACACAGACCAAGGAGUCUGACAUGUGUGCGAGUCAACGGGCGAGUAAACCUGUAAGGCACAAGGAAGGUGAUUGGUGGGAUCCCCCCAAGGGGUGCACCGCCGACCGACCUUGAUCUUCUGAGAAGGGUUCGAGUGUGAGCAUUCCUGCGGGGACCCGAAAGAUGGUGAACUAUUCCUGAGCGGGGUGAAGCCAUAGAAAACUCUGGUGUAAGCCCACAGCGAUACUAACGUGCAAAUCGUUCAUCUGACUUAGGUAUAGGGGUGAAAGACUAAUCGAAUCGUCUAGUAGGUGGUUCCCUCUGAUGUUUCCCUCAGGAUAGAUGGAGCUCGCGUGCGAGUUCUAUCGGGUAAAGCCAAUGAUUAGAGUCCUCGGGGACGCAACGCCCUCGAACUAUUCUCAAACAUUAAAUAGGUAGGACGGCGGGACUGCUUCUUUGAGCCGCGCAAUUAAAUCAAGAGCUCCGACCAAGGCCAUUUUUGGUAAGUAGAACUGGCGAUGCAGGAUGAAUCGGAAGCCGGGUUGCUGUGCCACAAUGCGCGCUAACCUAGAUCCCACAAAGGGUGUUGGUAGUUUAAGACAGCAGGACGGUGGUCAUGGAAGUCAAAAUCUGCUAAGGAGUGUGUAACAACUCACCUGCCGAAUCAACUAGCCUCGAUAAUGGAUGGUGCUUAAGCGCACGACCUACACCCGAUCGUCGGGGCAAAUGCCAGGCCCUUAUUAGUAGGAGGGCGUUGCAUUCGCUGCAAAACCUUGGGCGCGAGCCCGGGCGGAGUAGCCGUCAGUGCAGAUUUUGGUGGUAGUAUCAAAUAUUCAAAUGAGAACUUUAAAGGCUGAAGAGGGGAAAGGUUCCAUAUGAACGGCACUUGCACAUGGGUUAGUCGAUCCUAAGGGUCGCACGAGCUUUGAAAGGGAAUCGGGUUAAAAUUUCUAAAACAGGACGUGGCAGUCGACGGUAACGUUAGGAAGUCUGGACACAUCGACUGGAGCCUCAGGAAGAGUUAUCUUUUUGGUUUAGCAGCCUGCCCACCCUGGAAUCGGCUCAGCCGGAGGUAUGGUCCAGCGGCUGGAAGAGCACCGCACAUCACGUGGUGUCCGGUACGCUCUCGGCGGACCUUGAAAAUCCGGAGGAGCGAAUGCCAUCCACACCCGGUCGUACUCAUAACCGCAUCAGGUCUCCAAGGUGAACAACCUCUGGUCGAUGGAAUAAUGUCGGCAAAAUGGAUCUGUAAGUUUGGGAAAAGGUUUGGCUCUGACGGCUGGACAUGGGGGUCCCAGUCCCGAACCCGUCGGCUGUCGGUGGACUGCUCGAGCUGCUCUCGCGGUGGAAGAGGGUCGCCACGUGCCGGCCGGGGGACGGACUAGGAACGGUUCCUUCGGGGGCCUUCCCCGCGCAUCGAACAGCCAACUCAGAACUUCUAUGGACAAGGGGAAUCCGACUGUUUAAUUAAAACAAAGCAUUGCGAUGGUCCCAACGGAUGCUCACGCAAUGUGAUUUCUGCCCAGUGCUCUGAAUGACAAAGUGAAGAAAUUCAACCAAGUGUGGGUAAACGGCGAGAGUAACUAUGACUCUCUUAAGGUAGCCAAAUUUCUCGUCAUCUAAUUAGUGACGCGCAUGAAUGGAUUAAAGAGAUUCCCACUGUCCCUAUCUACUAUCCAGCGAAAACACAGCCAAAGGAAUGGGCUUGGCAGAAACAGCGGGGAAACAAGACCCUAUUGAGCUUGACUCUAGUUCGACUUUGUGAAAUAACUUGAGAGGUGUAGUAUAAGUGGGAGCCAAAAGGCGAAAGUGAAAUACCACUACUUUUAACAUUAUUUUACUUAUUCCAUGAAUCGGAAGCGGGGCACUGCCCCUCUUUUUGGACCCAAGGCUCGCUCUGUGGGCCGAUCCGGGUGGAAGACAUUGUUAGGUGGGGAGUUUGGCUGGGGUGGCACAUCUGUUAAAAGAUAAUGCAGGUGUCCUAAGAUGAGCUCAACGAGAACAAAAAUAUCUUGUGGAACAGAAGGGUAAAAGCUCUUUUGAUUCUGAUUUCCAGUUCGAAUACGAACCGUGAAAACGUGGCCUAACGAUCCUUUAAACCUUCGAAAUUUGAAGCUAGAGGUGUCAGAAAAGUUACCACAGGGAUAACUGGCUUGUGGAAGCCAAGCUUUCAUAGCGACGUUGCUUUUUAAUCCUUCGAUGUCGGCUCUUCCUAUCAUUGUGAAGCAGAAUUCACCAAGUAUUGCAUUGUUCACCCACCAAUAAGGAAUGUGAGCUGGGUUUAGACCGUCGUGAGACAGGUUAGUUUUACCCUACUGGUGACAGUGUCAGAAUAGUAAUUCAACCCAGUACGAAAGGAACCGUUGAUUCAGAAAAUUGGUCAUCGCACUUGGUUGAAAAGCCAGUGGCGCGAAGCUACCGUGUACUGGAUAAUGACUGAAUGCCUCUAAGUCAGAAUUCGGGCUAGAAGCGAUGCAUGCGCCCACCGUCUGCUUGCCGACCCGCAGUAGGGUCCUCGGCCUCCAAGGGCACGUAUCGUUGGCUAAGACGCUGUGGCGGCCGCCUUGAAGUACAAUUUCCAUCGAGCGGCGGACAGAAUCCUUUGUAGACAACUUAAAUACGCGACGGGGUAUUGUAAGUGGCAGAGUGGCCUUACUGCGACGAUCCACUGAGAUUCAACCCUUUGUCCCUCCGGUUUGU